rnacentral:misc_RNA from 1 species
GAUGAAGAACGCAGCGAAAUGCGAUAAGUAAUGUGAAUUGCAGAAUUCAGUGAAUCAUCGAAUCUUUGAACGCACAUUGCGCCCCCUGGUAUUCCGGGGGGCAUGCCUGUUCGAGCGUCAUUUCACCACUCAAGCCUCGCUUGGUAUUGGGCAACGCGGUCCGCCGCGUGCCUCAAAUCGACCGGUUGGGUCUUCUGUCCCCUAAGCGUUGUGGAAACUAUUCGCUAAAGGGUGCUCGGGAGGCUACGCCGUAAAACAAACCCAUUUCUAAGGUUGACCUCGGAUCAGGUAGGGAUACCCGCUGAACUUAAGCAUAUCAAUAAGCGGAGGA